rnacentral:rRNA from 1 species
GUGAACGCUGGCGGUAGGCCUAACACAUGCAAGUCGAACGGCAGCACAGGAGAGCUUGCUCUCUGGGUGGCGAGUGGCGGACGGGUGAGGAAUACAUCGGAAUCUGCCCAGUCGUGGGGGAUAACGUAGGGAAACUUACGCUAAUACCGCAUACGACCUUCGGGUGAAAGAGGGGGAUCGCAAGACCUCUCGCGAUUGGAUGAGCCGAUGUCGGAUUAGCUAGUUGGCGGGGUAAUGGCCCACCAAGGCGACGAUUCGUAGCUGGUCUGAGAGGAUGAUCAGCCACACUGGAACUGAGACACGGUCCAGACUCCUACGGGAGGCAGCAGUGGGGAAUAUUGGACAAUGGGCGCAAGCCUGAUCCAGCCAUACCGCGUGGGUGAAGAAGGCCUUCGGGUUGUAAAGCCCUUUUGUUGGGAAAGAAAUCUUUCAGGCUAAUACCCUGGGAGGAUGACGGUACCCAAAGAAUAAGCACCGGCUAACUUCGUG